GGGACCCGCACAAGCGUGGACGAUGUGGUUUAUUCGAUGCACGCGAAAAACCUUACCUACCCUUGACAUGGCAGGAAUCCCGCAGAGAUGUGGGAGUGCUCGAAAGAGAACCUGCACACAGGUGCUGCAUGGCCGUCGUCAGCUCGUGUCGUGAGAUGUUGGGUUAAGUCCCGCAACGAGCGCAACCCUUGUCAUCAGUUGCUACGAGAGGGCACUCUGAUGAGACUGCCGGUGACAAACCGGAGGAAGGUGGGGAUGACGUCAGGUCCUCAUGGCCCUUAUGGGUAGGGCUACACACGUCAUACAAUGGCCGGUACAGAGGGCUGCCAACCCGCGAGGGGGAGCCAAUCCCAGAAAACCGGUCGUAGUCCGGAUCGUAGUCUGCAACUCGACUGCGUGAAGUCGGAAUCGCUAGUAAUCGCGGAUCAGAAUGUCGCGGUGAAUACGUUCCCGGGUCUUGUACACACCGCCCGUCACACCAUGGGAGCGGGUUCUGCCAGAAGUAGUUAGCCUAACCGCAAGGAGGGCGAUUACCACGGCAGGGUUCGUGACUGGGGUGAAGUCGUACAAGGUAGCCGUAUCGGAAGG
rnacentral:rRNA from 1 species